CGCGUAGGCGGCUCGGGAAGUCGGGUGUGAAAGCCCGGGGCUCAACCCCGGAACGGCAUCCGAUACUCCUGGGCUCGAGACCGGGAGAGGAGGGUGGAAUACCCAGUGUAGAGGUGAAAUUCGUAGAUAUUGGGUGGAACACCGGUGGCGAAAGCGGCUCUCUGGCCCGGAUCUGACGCUGAGGCGCGAAAGCGUGGGGAGCAAACA
rnacentral:rRNA from 1 species